CCUGAUCCUAGAAGCAUUGCAGGGGUGGCUGCUGUGUCACAUGUGUGUCAGUAGGUGGCAGAGAAGAGAGAGGCUCUGUCUAUGCUCAGUGUUCUGACCUGGCCCUGCCCACACCUACUUUAGCACUCAGAGCAUGCCCAG
ensembl:snoRNA LOC120101331 small nucleolar RNA SNORA17